GCACAUCACUGGUGAUGAUGUAAGAUACCUGCACUUUGAUUUCCAUCACAUCUGUGGACAUAUUCACUUUGAGCGCUUAGCAAUUCUGUAUGACCAGAUUGAGGGUUUCCUUGAGAAAAACGGGUACUUUUUGUUGAAUGAAAAGGGUGAGAAAAUGAAGGAGCAGCUUGGUAUUGUGCGAACAAACUGCAUAGAUUGCUUAGACCGUACAAAUGUC